rnacentral:rRNA from 1 species
AUGAACGCUGGCGGCGCGCCUAAUACAUGCAAGUCGAGCGAGAAGACGUAGCAAUACGUUUGUAAAGCGGCGAACGGGUGAGGAAUACAUGGGUAACCUACCCUAGAGUGGGGAAUAACUAGCCGAAAGGUUAGCUAAUACCGCGUACGCUCCUUGGACUUCGGUUCAGGGAGGAAAGCGAUGCCGAGGGUAUCGCGCUCUUGGAUGGGCUCAUGUCCUAUCAGCUUGUUGGUGAGGUAACGGCUCACCAAGGCUUCGACGGGUAGCUGGUCUGAGAGGACGAUCAGCCACACUGGCACUGCGACACGGGCCAGACUCCUACGGGAGGCAGCAGUAAGGAAUAUUGCGCAAUGGGCGAAAGCCUGACGCAGCGACGCC